CUGGCCCGUGGGGAGCUACAAACAAAGCUGGUGGGAGGAAUGAGAAUCAUCUGGAAAUACUCAACUUUGAACCAGAUUCAAGGACUGGGUUAUCUCUUUGCACAGGGGAAGGAUAAAAUGAAUAUUUCAUGGUGAGAAAGAGGUACAGAUCUGAGAUUCAACAGUCUUGCACAAUUCACAGCUUCAGCCUCCAUUCUUGACGGUCCUCUGCCACUCCAUUCUGUCCUGUGUGCCAGAAAAUGAAGAACGGCUCCUGGUGAUUGUGAUUUUCUGCCUCCCUGACCCAGUGCUGAGGAGGGAGAUGGCUCAUUCUUCAUGCCCCUUCUUCUGCAGCUCUCACCUCAGGGCGAUGUGCAUCUUUCACCUGGACGGGGUCCCGGGAUCCGAUGACAGUCAGAGCUCGUUUUGUUCAUUUUCCAUAUCCUUCAGGCCAGAGAGCACAAUCCCUUGCAGAAGCCUGAAUUUGAACAUGAAAGGAAAUAAAAGGGAGAAAAGAACUAACGUGCAUUAACCAUUUCCUCUCUGUUGGGCAUCAUACUGAAUACUUCUCAUGUAUCAUUGUCUGUAACUCUCAACACCCCCACAAAAGCUGGGGCUGGAAGGUGACUAAAUGGACGAACUGAAAACAGGUCCUGCUCCACCCUAAGGUGGCACCUCAACAGCAGGAUCACCCAGUUCACCCUGCUGCUGGCAGUACGGGCUCUAGGCAGGGGAGAUUCCGCCUGUCCCUCUCUCUGGCUGUGCCACCAAGAAAGUUCCACAUGAAGCAGUGACACCAGGCUGCUGCUGUCCCCAGCACCACCCAGCACAAGCCUGGGAUUACGG